AUGAAGAAUGCAAGUUUGCCUCCGGGGGUGGCAGUCCUGCGGUGUUGGUGUGGCGAUCUUUGCAAGGUGAAGGAGGUGACAGAUUUUUCAGAUUGGUUGGGCAUGAAGUUUUUCAUGCGCGCCAAUUAUGAGGAAGAUCCACCGGUAGCUAUUUCAGAGUACGACAAGCCUCCGGCAUGCUUUAACCAUCACGAAUAG
rnacentral:rRNA from 1 species